UACGGGGGGUGCGAGCGUUACUCGGAAUCACUGGGCGUAAAGGGCACGUAGGCGGAAUUUUAAGUGAGGUGUGAAAUCCCCGGGCUUAACCUGGGAAGUGCAUUUCAUACUGGGAGUCUAGAGUACUUUAGGGAGGGGUAGAAUUCCACGUGUAGCGGUGAAAUGCGUAGAGAUGUGGAGGAAUACCGAAGGCGAAGGCAGCCCCUUGGGAAUGUACUGACGCUCAUGUGCGAAAGCGUGGGGAGCAAACAGG
rnacentral:rRNA from 1 species